rnacentral:rRNA from 1 species
GAUGAACGCUAGCGAUAGGCUUAACACAUGCAAGUCGAGGGGCAGCGAGGGUAGCAAUACCUGUCGGCGACCGGCGCACGGGUGAGUAACGCGUAUGUAACCUGCCCGCAACAGGGGGAUAACCCGGCGAAAGUCGGACUAAUACCGCAUAAAACAGGGGUCCCGCAUGGGAAUAUUUGUUAAAGAUUUAUCGGUUGCGGAUGGGCAUGCGUACCAUUAGGUAGUUGGUGAGGUAACGGCUCACCAAGCCUUCGAUGGUUAGGGGUUCUGAGAGGAAGGUCCCCCACACUGGUACUGAGACAUGGACCAGACUCCUACGGGAGGCAGCAGUGAGGAAUAUUGGUCAAUGGGCGAGAGCCUGAACCAGCCAAGUCGCGUGAAGGAUGACUGCCCUAUGGGUUGUAAACUUCUUUUACAAGGGAAUAAAAUGAGAUACGUGUAUUUUAUUGCAUGUACCUUGGGAAUAAGCAUCGGCUAACUCCGUG